GAAAAGUUCGAGAAGCUUGUUCUAGGAUAAUUACUAUAUCAACAUAAUUUAUUUUUGAAAUGUUUUUUAGAAACAAAUUCACGAAAAUAAUCAAAAUUAGGGUUAAUAAGGCUGGAGGAACUAACGUGAAACCAAUAAAUUAAAUAGAGCCCAAUUUGAUAAAAAAAAAAAUAGAGCCCAAUUCUACACUUUCAGCCCAUUUCCCCUCAAAUAUCUCCUCACAUUUUAGGGUUUCAAAAAAGAAUCAGCGCCGCUACUCCUUCACUUUUCUCCCUCGUUCCUCUUCUCUCGGUCCAAACCCUCCUUCUUCCACAUCUUCCGCUCUAACACACACAAAUCAGACGAUCACACUCUCCCUCUGAAUCACUCAACCACCGUUGUCGGCCUGAAGCCAUGGUCGCCGAUGCUCUCCCUCGUCUUCUCUCUCUCUGCCUCACCCUCUACAGCGGCAAAUCCGCCGGCCAAAAGCCCUAUAUCGCCAAACCACCAACUCCGCCCUCACAUCUAGGCACUGAUGCCGCUCCACUUGGCGUCGCCUCCCUCCUCGACGACAAUAAAUACGUCGCCGCCUUCCGCUGUACAACCCGUAUCCAGCCGCCGCCGUCCGGGUUUCAAAUGACAGCGUCUCCCGAUCCCUAGCUCCAGAUCUCGGCCGCCUCCCUGAUUUUCUGUGCUCCAUUGAAAGAUUGAGUCUUUUGCAGAUCUUCCGCGCUCCAUUGAUCUGCUGAGAAAAUCUAUACUAAUAUCAGCUACUACUUUUUAAAUAAAUAUUGUACAGAAUCACAAAUGACAUAAAAACAUGAAAACCAUAAAAACAUAAAAAAAAUAAACAAAAAGAAUUAAAUUAACCAGAGA